CUCCCCUCACGCAGGCCAUUAUUCAGAGCAAGUACCAUCACCCGUACUUAUCUUGGAGGGAGAUCCUAAUAGAAGUUUGAAAAUUUUGGUUUUGGGAGUUUGUGUGGUCCUAGCUCCUUGAGGAGGAGGAGCACAUCCAGAGGAACAUCAAACACAAGAUGAGCGAUCUUCUUUGCGACCAAUUCAAUGAUAUACGCUGGACAUGUAAACAUCCGUGUGGCUUGAUGAGGAUAUGUUAUUUUACUUUCUUAGGGCGUGAGUAUCAUAAGAAGAGGGAACAAGCUAAUAAGAAACACCGCAUUGACUACGAGGGCAUGGGGGCCUCAAAGCACACUAUUAGGGAGCUCAUACAUACAUAGUACAAGAAGAGAGAAAAGUUGGGAGCCAACAGUGUGGAUUACAUGAGCUCACUCACAGGCGGGAGACAGAUCUACCUUGGGUGUAUAAUAGAUCCCUGGUGACCUAGAAGGUCUUUCAUAGGCUGAAAGAAAGCCAAUCCCAGCAGUCAAGCGGUGGUUCGAGCACAAUCUCACGACCCUUCUCAAUACAACCUAUGAAGGGAGGUUGUGAGUGGCAAGAAAAAGGGCAAGGUCUCGGGUUGGGGUCCCAGCCACCGUUCUAUGAUGCAUGUCCGACCUUUAGCACAUCUGGUGCUUCUACUUCCAUUGAACAAGAGGAGGAGAUUCAUCACUACGUUGCUACUGAGGUUGCUGCCCAAAUCUUCACCUAACUAGCCACCCUUAGAAUCAGAGAUAAAGCGGAAGAUGAAAAGAGAGAUCGAAGCAA